UACGGAGGAUGCAAGCGUUAUCCGGAAUUAUUGGGCGUAAAGCGUCCGCAGGUGGCAUUUCAAGUCUGCUGUCAAAGACCGGGGCUUAACCCUGGAAAGGCAGUGGAAACUGAAGCGCUAGAGUGUGGCAGGGGUAGAGGGAAUUCCCGGUGUAGCGGUGAAAUGCGUAGAGAUCGGGAAGAACAUCGGUGGCGAAAGCGCUCUACUGGGCCAUAACUGACACUCAGGGACGAAAGCUAGGGGAGCGAAUGGG
rnacentral:rRNA from 1 species